AGUGAACGCUGGCGGUAGGCCUAACACAUGCAAGUCGAACGGCAGCACAGUAAGAGCUUGCUCUUACGGGUGGCGAGUGGAGGACGGGUGAGGAAUACAUCGGAAUCUACUUUUUCGUGGGGGAUAACGUAGGGAAACUUACGCUAAUACCGCAUACGACCUACGGGUGAAAGCAGGGGAUCUUCGGACCUUGCGCGAUUGAAUGAGCCGAUGUCGGAUUAGCUAGUUGGCGGGGUAAAGGCCCACCAAGGCGACGAUCCGUAGCUGGUCUGAGAGGAUGAUCAGCCACACUGGAACUGAGACACGGUCCAGACUCCUACGGGAGGCAGCAUUGGGGAAUAUUGGACAAUGGGCGCAAGCCUGAUCCAGCCAUACCGCGUGGGUGAAGAAGGCCUUCGGGUUGUAAAGCCCUUUUGUUGGGAAAGAAAAGCAGCAGGUUAAUACCCCGCUGUUCUGACGGUACCCAAAGAAUAAGCACCGGCUAACUUCGUG
rnacentral:rRNA from 1 species